CAAAAAAAAAAAAAAAAAAAAAGAAGAAGAAGAAGAAGAAAGGGGAGAAGAGGAGAAACCAGUGUCUCAAAUAGUGAGAGAGGGAGUUGGGGGGCGGGUUGCCACACUUUUAAACAACCAGAUCUCAUGAAAACUCACUCACUAUUGGGAGGAUAGCACCAAGCCACAAGGGAUCCAUCCCUAUCACCCAAACACCUCCACUAGGCCCUACCUCCCUCAUUGGGGAUUAUAAUUCAACAUGAGAUUUGGCAGGGACAUAUAUUCAAACUAAUCAAAUGUGUUUCAUGAUCUUUUUUUAGAUAUAUAUUUUUAUGUGUGUAGUCAAAUAUAGUCAGCCCAGCAAGACGGAGGCUCACAGAAACGGAGUUUCAUAAAGGAAUGGCAUCUUCAGUUCUGUCGUCCAGUACUGGGUUUAUGCAUAUUGAAUGGAAUUAUGGGAAGAAUGACUUGCACCAAUCAGAAUGUUCCAUCCAUCUACUGGUCUAUGUCAUAGUUUUAUACAACUGACAUCAGCCAAAAUAAAAGUUGCACGGUGUGACUUCCACAAUGGUCAUGGGUGCAGUACUUACAACCUGUCUGACACUGGGCUAACCCCUUUACAAGUGUGACAUCGUUUUAUCUUCUAAAGAACCCAGUGACUGAGGUAGUAUCAUUAUGUCCAUUUUAUAGAUGAGUAUUUUAAAUCACUGUGAGAUUAAAUAAUGUGUUUGGGUAAGUGGUGAGCAAAGUAACAAUUUGAACCAAGGACUGGCUGCCUCCAAAGUGUGCACUGCUGUGUUAUGCUGCCUGGUGAGUCAUCCCUGGUAACCCACUCUAGGCAAGAAAAUGGUUAGAACUGAGCUAAACCCAGAAAGGAAGUUUGAUUUCCCUUUUCUUUUGUAAAUUGGAGACUCUCUGUCGCAGCUUCUCUCCCUCCUAAGUGUCUGCUUUCAACAAGUCCUAAAUAAAAUGAUUGUUACUCUUUAGAUUUAGUU
rnacentral:lncRNA from 1 species